GGAGAAGAUAAGCUAUAUAUAGAUUAUAAAUUGAUAAAAUCAUAUUUUAUUUCUUACAUGCACAUGGAAGAAAAUAUGGUUGAAAUUAUCAAAUUUAUUUAUGUUAUGGUUAAUUUUAUUUCCGUAUUUUUAGUUUCAAUGAACGUUGAAGGUCGCAAAUGUAAACAAGAUUCUGAUUGUCCAGAAUAUAUAUGCACGUUUCCUUGGAAACCAACGUGUGUGGAGGCAUAUUUUUUGAUGUACAAUAGACAGAACUAUUGUACAUGUACGUGACAGAUGUGCCCUUAAGAUUCUACUAUAAAAUUCAAUGAGUUUUUAUUUAGUUAUUUUAUUGUAUUCACGGACCACGUAAUUAUACAUUGUAGUCUAAGAUGAAAAAUGAAACUAAAUUAAAAAUAAAAUAUUAUUAUUUAGAUUGUCUU